rnacentral:rRNA from 1 species
GACGAACGCUGGCGGCGUGCCUAAUACAUGCAAGUUGAGCGCUGAAGGUUGGUCCUUGUACCAACUGUAUGAGCAGCGCACGGGUGAGUAACGCGUGGGGAAUCUGCCUUUGAGCGGGGGACAACAUUUGGAAACGAAUUCUAAUACCGCAUAAAAACUUUAAACACAAGUUUUAAGUUUGAAAGAUGCAAUUGCCUCACUCACAGAUGAUCCCGCGUUGUAUUAGCUAGUUGGUGAGGUAAAGGCUCACCAAGGCGAUGAUACAUAGCCGACCUGAGAGGGGGAUCGGCAAAAUUGGGACUGAGACACGGCCCAAACUCCUACGGGAGGAAGCAGUAGGGAAGCUUCGGCAAGGGACGAAAGUCGGACCGAGAAACGCCGCGGGAGGGAAGAAGGGUUUCGGAUCGUAAAACUCGGUUGGUAGAGAAGAACGGUGGGGAGAGUGGAAAGCUCAUCAAGUGACGGUAACUACCCAGAAAGGGACGGCUAACUACGUG